rnacentral:rRNA from 1 species
GACGAACGCUGACGGUGUGCUUUAGGCAUGCAAGUCGAACGAGAAAGCCCUUCGGGGUGAGUAGAGUGGCGAACGGGUGAGUAACACGUGGGCAACCUGCCCCUCGCAGGGGGACAACCGGAGGAAACUCCGGCUAAUACCCCGUACGCUUGUCGGGUCGCAUGGCCUGACAAGGAAAGGUAGCCUCGGCCAUCCGGCGAGGGAGGGGCCCGCGGUGCAUUAGCUAGUUGGUGGGGUAACGGCCUACCAAGGCGACGAUGCAUAGCUGGUCUGGGGGGAGGAUCAGCCCAACUGGGACUGAGACACGGCCCAGACUCCUACGGGAGGCAGCAGCCAGGAAUCUUGCACAAUGGGCGAAAGCCUGAUGCAGCAAUACCGUGUGGGUGAGGAAGGCCUUCGGGUCGUAAAGCCCUGUUGUUGGGGACGAAGGGCGAAGGGUUAAUAGCCCCUAGCCUGACUGUACCCUUCGAGGAAGCCCCGGCUAACUACGUGCCAGCAGCCGCCGUAACAC